rnacentral:lncRNA from 1 species
AUGUACUCCUUUGCUCAAUGUGCUGCCCCCUGUGGUCAAACCCGUGGUCACUCCUGUGGUCACUCCUGUGGUCACUCCUGUGGUUGCUGCUCACGCGAUGGGCCCUCUGAUGAAGGUGUUGUGUUCCGUUCCAGGCCAAGAAGGAACUGGCCUCGGGGGGGAAGCAGCAGCCGAGCCGAGAGCCAGCGCUGGCCCCCCCGAAAGAGCUGGACGCCUUUGGGAAGAAGGCCAAGAAGGAGCCGGCCUCAGGGGGGAAGCAGCGGCAGGGGGGGGCGCACCCCAGACACCUCUCCGCCUGGGGCAAGAAGCAACGUCUGCUCGAGAAGGACGUCACCGACAGCGACCUCCACGUCAUGGCCACGAUCUUGUCAGCUGGCUUGGUGGACGUGGACCCCUCCUGCCUGCAGCACCUCAAGGAGUUCCGUGACCUCUGGGGAUCCUCCACCUGAAGGCCGCCCAAAUACCUGCUGAUGCUAAAGACUUGCUAAUGCUAACAUGCUGCUGAUGCUGAAGGACCACCAAUGGAUCACUAAUGAACCAGUAGUGGACCACCAAUGCCAGUCAGCUGCCAGCGAGCUGCUAAUGGUUCACUAGCAUCACCUGGACAUCGCCAUGCGGAGCUAGAUGCUUUGGCCAAAGGAGACUCCCCUGUUGGCCACCUUUCAGGACCCCAACCCCCAACAUUAUUGUGUCAUUUGAGGUUCCGGGUGUGAAUGAAUUUGAUUGACCUCCAGUGACAUUUGCGUUCAUUCAUUUCUCUGCUGCCAUGUCUGCCUUUCCCCUUUGUAGUUGAACUUCCAUAAAGUCCCACUCCUGACCAUUAUGUGGGGGGCAUCUUUCUAUAGACUCCACCCCAAAGUGAACUAGCCAAUCAUAACCUUUGCACCGUUUUUGUUAUUGUACCCAAUAAAGUGACGGUACUUUGCUC